GUCAAGUCAUCAUGCCCCUUAUGUCCAGGGCUACACACGUGCUACAAUGGCCGGUACAAAGAGCUGCAAAGCCGUGAGGUGGAGCGAAUCUCAUAAAGCCGGUCCCAGUUCGGAUUGGAGGCUGAAACUCGCCUCCAUGAAGUCGGAGUUGCUAGUAAUCGCGAAUCAGCAACGUCGCGGUGAAUACGUUCCCGGGCCUU
rnacentral:rRNA from 1 species